rnacentral:rRNA from 1 species
AUUGAACGCUGGCGGCAGGCUUAACACAUGCAAGUCGAACGAGUGGCGGACGGGUGAGUAAUGCUUGGGAAUCUAGCUGAUGGAGGGGGAUAACUACGGGAAACUGUAGCUAAUACCGCGUAACAUAGGAUGAGCCCAAGUUGGAUUAGGUAGUUGGUGAGGUAAAGGCUCACCAAGCCGAGGAUCUCUCACUGGUCUGAGAGGAUGACCAGCCACACUGGGACUGAUACACGGCCCAGACUCCUACGGGAGGCAGCAGUGGGGAAUAAUGCGCAAUGGGGGCAACCUGACGCAGCCAGGCCGCGUGAAUGAAGAAGGCCUUCGGGUUGUAAAGUUCUUUCGGUAGCGAGGCGUUAACUACAGAAGAAGCACCGGCUAACUCCGUGCCAGCAGCCGCGGUAAUUC